rnacentral:misc_RNA from 1 species
GAUGAAGAACGUAGCGAAAUGCGAUACGUAAUGUGAAUUGCAGAAUUCAGUGAAUCAUCGAGUCUUUGAACGCACAUUGCGCCCCCUGGUAUUCCGGGGGGCAUGCCUGUCCGAGCGUCAUUGCUGCCCUCAAGCACGGCUUGUGUGUUGGGCCUCCGUCCUCCUCCCGGGGGACGGGCCCGAAAGGCAGCGGCGGCACCGCGUCUGGUCCUCGAGCGUAUGGGGCUUCGUCACCCGCUCUUGUAGGCCCGGCCGGCGCUUGCCGACACAUCAAUCUUUUUUCCAGGUUGACCUGGGAUCAGGUAGGGAUACCCGCUGAACUUAAGCAUAUCAAUAAGCGGAGGA